UUGGCAUAUUUCCAUUGCACAUGACUCGAGCUUGGAUACGUUUUAUCACCAGCUACUUCAUCUAGUGGAACAGCUUCAGUGAUUUCUUUGAGGUCAUCUUCCUUGAGAUUCAGACUUAAGGAGCCAAUGUUGGUAUCCAGGUUCUUAAUCUUUGUUGUCCCUGCAUGUAUAUGUAUGUGGAAAUUAGUUCAAAGUAUUAUAAUCUUUGUCGUCUGCAUUAUUUAACUUGAAGAUCGACGAAGAGGUUCUCAGACUCACCGGGGAUUGGUACAACGUCAUCACCUUGGUGGAGAACCCACGACAGUGCUAGUUGAGCAGGAGAGCAAUGGUGCUUAGUUGUAGCAAGGCUUUCUAUUGCCUGGUAUAUGUGUCUGUUCUUCUCCAAGUUCUCUCCAGUUAGCCGAGGAUGGGAGGCCUGGUAUUACAAAAUCCAAGAUUAUGUCACAUACUAAUGCCAUAAUGAAAUGCUCGGUUUCUGAAUUACAGAGCUCUCUGUUUAGACGUGUGCUAUAUCAUGCUCUAUACGUGUGUUCUAAGUUUGUCAUAGAAUUUGAGAAGAUAUCAAUGUAAGGGAGAAAACGAUUUGUACCCCAUGAACAUUUGGAUCCAAACUUUCGACAACUGCUUUGCCUGCGAAGAAACCACGACCAAGAGGACUAUAUGGAACUAUUCCAAUGCCACGCUCCCUGCAUCAUGUGAUCAUGAGAAUUUAAGAUUGAUUGAUGUACAUGUGAUAUGGGAAUCGAAGAAUAGUAUGAUGGAAUGGAAAAACACCAUCAUUGUGCAUGAAAUCUUUAUAUUCAUAUAGCAUUCCUAAAUCUACACAAUCUGUAUGAUGUUUACAUCAUUCAUUUUCAUCUGACGAUACCAGCCCAUAUGUACACCUCUGUCCCUCAUUUCUGCAUUUGUUCUUGUGUGUCCUUAUCAAUGCUACUUUGAUUAAAUAUAUCAGAUAUUAGAAGAAAUUAAAGAAGAUUCAACUAAUAAUGAUAGGUGAAUCUAUUUGUGAGAAUGAAAGAACUAUCAUCAUCCCAAUUCACUCUCUAGUUGGAAAGACACAUGUCUUCGAAAAAUUUUAAGGAGAAUCUCACCGAUUAAUCAGUAAUAACACCCUAGCAUCUUGUUGAAUUAUUCAAAUGCAAAAAGAACUGGAAGGACUCUAUGAAAAAGAGAAUGGGAACAUUUAAACUCUAGACAAUGUUCCAAAUAAUGCUGAUCAUGAUAUAUUUGUUUGAUCCGUAUAUCAUACACUCUUAUAUGAGUCCUUGUUAUUUAUGCUCUUCAUUUUAAUAUAUAGCUUACAUGUAAAUGAUGAUUACAAAGAAUUAAUGAUGACAAUUAUAUUGAACAUUUUCUCAGUUUAUAUAUAGUGAGGGAUACUGUGUUGAUCCUACCAAAAAAAAAAAAAGUUUAAUACAUAAAUAUUAAUCUUGAAAUGAAUUAAUUAUAUACCUGCAAAGUGGAAUAAUCUCUUCUUCAAUAUCUCUAGUCCAAAGAGACCACUCCAUUUGCACAGCUGUGAUGGGAUGCACAGCAUGUGCUCUCCUUAUUGUGUCUGGACUGGCUUCAGAUAACCCAAUAUACUUGAUCUUUCCUUCUUCCACAAGUUUCUUCAGCUCUCCCAUCUAAAAUCCAACAACAAAAAAGAGCAAGUAUCUUAUCACAUUUCCGUCUGGGGUUGUUUCGGAUGCUCGAAAUUGUUCUCUAUAUUGGUAGUAUGCAUAUGUUCAAAUGAAAAUUACAGUUUGAUUUCAAACUUACAGUAUCCUCUAUUGGCACCGUUUGAUCAAUGCGGUGAUAAUAGUAGAGGUCAAUGUAGUCGACGCCAAGACGCUUCAAGCUAGCCUCGCAGCAUGACCGGACAUACUCAGGAGUUCCCUUCACCACCAAGCGAGGAGGUCCUAAGCUUACAACACCAAACUUCGUUGCUAGUUGAACCUCUUCCCUUGGCAACUGCUUCAGGGCCUAAAACAACAUACAGAAAAUUAGUCUGCCUCUCAUUACCACUAUCUGUGAUGUUUCCUCAAACUAACUACCCCAUUUGUGGAACUGGACUUUGAUAGUAUCAGAAUUCAGUAACAAAAAUUCACAUUGCAUUUGAUAAUCUCUACAAAAACACUUGGACAAAUGCUUUAAGGAAAGUUCACCAGCGAAGGUGUGAUCAAAUCAUCAAAUCAUCAAAUUAUCUUACUUACCUUGCCAACAAGAAUUUCAUUGGCAUGAUCAGUUCCGUAUAUAUCAGAUGUGUCGAAGAAAGUGAUUCCUUUACUGAAGGCAUGCUUUAUAAUGGAGAUUCCAUCCUCUUCAGCACCAGGAGACUUGACAAACGUCAAUCCCAUGCAUCCAAACCCCAAUUUUGAAACCUGAAGUUAAUGCAAUUAUGGGAUAUAAGAAAUAAACCAAACAAAGCUACUCAAAGGAAGUUAAUUAUUCAGGAAUGAAAGAAAAUGCAGGAGGAAUAUUAUAUCUGACCUCAAAUCCUUGAGUUCCUAGUUUAACCUUUGGGAUCUGUAUUUCCUUCUGUUCAGCCAUUUCUUCGAUCUCUUCCUGCGAAUGAUUACUUUUGAGUUGUGAAACUGGGAAUGGGAUUGUCAAGAGUGAAGUUCAAGAUUUACGAAACUCUUUAGUCUGUAGUGUUUGAAAUUGUAGAUAUGAUUCUGUGGUUAUAUAUGUACUCUCACACUGGCGAGUGACAUCAUUGACUAUGUCAUAGUAUCUAGUUCUCAUAAUCUCAUUGACUACUUUUCAGAGUAUCUGGUCCUAGUUAUAGCAAUAUGUCAAUAUGGCUUUUCUUUCGGUAAGUGAUUAUGUCACUACUAAACAAGUAAUAAUUGACAUCACUGCUUAUGCAUGUCUUGGCUUUACUGCUUGCAGGGGUACACCUUGUGCAUUACUGCGAGGAUGACAAAAAACAGUGUAUACCAUAAAUCUUUAUCAUUUGGCCCAAAGCCAGAGGCUUCCGAUACAAACUGGCCAGCGCUUUGUCACCAAAAGCAACAUUCUUGAGUCAAAUAGAUCCAACCUCCAAUCAAAUUUUAUUGUUGACAUGAUAUACCCAAGUCUAAGAGUAACAAUACAAUAUUAUUACCAACAAUAAACCGAGCUAAUUAACUUUCUUCAACACUAUGUCUAAAAAUCAUUAGACCACGUGCAAAGAUAAUUUACUCAUAUAUUAACAAUCAGACAACAUCGCAAUGAGAACAUUUAUGUCACACUCAGAUUUUUGAAAUUUUUUAUUUUUUAUUUUUUUAUUUAGGUGUAACUCAUAUUCCAAAACUAGAAUAAAUUUUCCAUAAAUAGAAUAUGAAAGAAAUUGGAAAAGAAUACAUUGAUACUCAACUGAAAGAUCACUCUUUAUUUCCAAGUAGUUCAUAAAGUAGCUUACAAAGAUAGCUAGACUAAUGAAAGUCUACAUCUUAUUCUAAGAAAACAAACAACAAACAUAUUUCACAUGAACUAAAACAUUCUUACAAGAAAUCAACUUCAGACAACUUGUUCCUCACUUGCAAAACAUUUAGAGGGGUGAGCUUAAAUAGCCUAAUAGGAGACAAAACCUCUUCAAACAAUACAAAUCAGAAUACAAUAUUUAUAUACAUGUGUAUGAUCUGCUCCAUAUAGUUCAUAUAACAAAAUACACCAAGUCUAUAUGUCUCAUAUCAUGUAUUUUACCACAAGGGCGACUUGGAGUAUCUAUUUACAUAAACUAUCUCCCUCUAACCCCUUUUGCUAGUCAUCUUGUCCAUUCCCCUUUCACCAAUCUCGAAUUACCCUUUCCAUAACCUAUACUACUUGCGCAUCAAUAUGGGCAUACCUGGGAUAUGGUUCCUACUGAAGAUAUGGACUCAACUACACAAAAGUUUUAUUACUCACUUUUUUAUCCCAAAUGCUUUAUGCAUAGUACUACACUCUCUUAUACUUUAUAUGGAAACAACACCUUUAUGAAUUUAAACAAACCAUAUCAGUAAUCUGGCAACAAGAAAAUAAACAAUUCAGACAAUCCGUAAAACCACUUAUAAGGCAAACAUAGAGGUUCCCCAAGUUUCCUCCUACCUUUGCCGGAUCGAUCUUCAAGUUUCAAGCUCCUAAUAAAAGAUGAAUCAUUAGUUAAAAAGUCUAAGCUAAACUGCUGAAACAAGAAAUAAAGUACCAAAACAGUAAAAAAAAAAACAUGUUUUUCUAUACUUAAACAUGAUUUUCUGUACCAGUUACAAAUAGACUAAAAACUGUACAAAGCUGUUCAUAAUUUGACUUCGAGGUCUUCUAAUGACUUAUAGCAGGCAAACAGAAGAAACUAUGAGAGUUGGAAUCACCUUAAAACGAUUUUUAUUGAAUUAGUUAUGAAUUUUCAAAAUUCAGCUUCAAGUUCAGGUUUUUCUGAAAAUUUUGCUAAAAAGAGUUUUCAAAAGCAAAACAAAAACUCUAAGUGAUACAAAACUUCUAGGUAUUUAAUAUAGACCUUUUGGUGUUAAAACAAAAAGAAAUCACACAAAAUUUUCAGUGUAAAGGACUGAACUAAAGCAUCACACAAAUAGCAGAGUAAACUAGCAACAAGUAAAAGUAGUUCUAAAUCUUAUAGCUAGCUUUAAGCAACCCAAAAAUCAUGGUUUCUACCUUCAAUAUCAGAAAAUAAUGACACAUAUAAGAACUUUAUGAUCUAAUCUCAAUACCUAUACAAGUUUGAACAAAGGAAACCAUUAAAACGAAUAAACAGUAAAAUAGUACCAAAUGCAGAAACCAUUUAAAGCUGACCUUCAAUUUCGAAAAUUCAUAACUUAAUCUACAGAAAUUCUUUUCAAGAGAUUCAAACUUCUAAAUGAUGUUUAACAUGUGUACUACAACUUUCAUGAAGACACAAACUUCAACUACUCAACUGAAAUGCACAGAUAUUAGUAAAGAGACAGCUGGGUCGAAAACUCAGAAUACUGAUAUGCAGAAUUUCUUAUUGCAGACCCUGGACUUUGAAAAAUCAUAUCUUAAUCUAAAGAAAUCCUUUUUGAAGUGAUUCAAAUUCUGGAAUAAUCUUUAGGAUGUCUGCUACAACUUUUAUGAAGAAACAAACUUCAAAUAACCAACCUAAAUGUACGGUUUUUAGCAACAAAAUGACUGACUCCAAAAUACAAGAAAGCUGAUUUGCAGAAUGUUCAACUAUGUUUUCAGCUUCAAACUUGACUAAUGAAUUCUAAAUGAACUUGCAUGAAACUACCCAGAUAUCAAGCUAAGAAUAUGACCUUUCAAGACAUGCAAAUGAUUUCUAAAAUGCAUGAUUAAUUCAAAAGAUAUGGCUACUUAGAGUUAACUAAAUGAACAAGUUACAAAAACUUUUCCAUUCAAAUGUCACUUCAGUUCAUGCAAAGUCUAAGGUUCCUAAUCAGUUCUAUGGAUGUUUAAAUGCUCAUAUAGGUUUCUUAGUCAUUCUAAGAUCUUGCUGUAUAAGAGAAAACAAGAGUAUCAAAUUCGAACAACAACACUGUAAUUACUCAGGACACCCAAACCUGUAGAACUAAAGUUCUAUAAUUAUCUUCAUCAGUUUCUAUUCUGUUUGGAAAAGAAUAAAUCUACUACAUGAACAGAAUCUUAAGCUAAUUCAAACAAUAGCAACAACAACAAUAACAAUAAUAUCAUAUAUUUGAUUCUCUAGCUGUUAAUAACAUAUAAGAACUGAUUUGGCUAACAAAGAUAUCAAUUCAAAAAUAACCAAAACUAAAUGAUUAGUAAUCCUAUUUGCCACAGAAUUCAAUAACAACAACAAAACCAUAGGAACUAUCCAAUCAUACAAGAAUUCCAACAUGAAUUCAAAAUCUAGUUUCACAAACUAAGAACAUAUAAACAAACCAAUUAGUUAGAAUGUAAAAAAAAAUACACUUGACACCAAAGUAUCUCUCUAAGUAUGAAUAGCUGCUGAAAACCUAUCUCAAAAUGUAGAAUGUUCUACCUAUUUAUAGGGUCUAAAAAGGGGAUAAAACUUGGCGUCCAAGAGAAGAACAUAAGAAGUAAAAUUGGAUUUGUUCAAUCGAAAUCUUACCCGUUUAGGUACUAGGCUAGACCCCUAGGGUACUAGCUCCUACUGCAUAGCUUCAAGUUGUCAUCAACUGGUCUCCAAGCAAUUGACACGUCCUGCUUAAAGAGGUCGGCUACCCUUGUUUAAGCUUUUCUAGGUCGGUUUCUGGGUUUCAAGGUGGUUGAGCAAGAUUUCGGAUGGGACUGAUCAUGGUUCCGGAUUGAGAAGCAUCUGGUGGAGGAGAAAGUCGGUGAAGAUGAAGGACAAGCUUCUGAGUUUAAGUCGUGUUUUCUGUCUAUCCAUUUGCGACAACACUUUCUAAACAAUGUUUUAGUUUGGGCUCAGGUUUUGGGUUAAUUGAUGUUGGGCCAAGUUUUGGUUUAUGGGCUAAAAACUCUCCUAGAAAAAUAAAUAAAAUAGAAAUAAUCUAAACAACUAAAACAGUUUUUAACAUGUAUUAAAAUAGAAAUAACAUAUAUAUAUAUAUAUAAGUGGACAUCCGCACUCCGGCUUAAAGUGCGGAUGUCGUCCGUUCUCCGCCGUCUCACGCCGACGACGGCUUCUCUCCUUCCCGGACGACAACACAGGCUUUCAGGACGACUUCUCUCCUUCCAGGACUGGCCGGCGACAAGUUUUCUGGCCAACCUUGAUCAAUCAUGGUGUUUUCCAUCUAGAGCUUCAAUCCGGCCGGAAAACUUGUCGCCGGCCAGUCCUGGAAAGAGAGAAACCGUCCGGGAAGGAGAGAAGCCGUCCCCGGCGUGAGACUGCGGAGAACGGACGACGUCCGUCACAUCCUCUCCGUGUAUAUAUAUAUCUAUACACACAAAAGAUUAAAACCAACAACGCAGAAAAUUAGUUAAAAUUUCUGAGUUGUCACAAUUUAUCCCCAUAAAUGAUAUCACCAAAGUAGCAUACCAACAAAACCAAAGAACCCAACACUCGCUCCUACACCAAUGAGACCAGAAGCCAAUGCUAACGUGAGGGCGCUGCCGGACAAGCGAGAUACUCAAUAUGUUUUCCUAACCAUAAGCCUUAUGUUAUUGCAGAGCAAACGAGACUCUUUAGAUGAUGACUACUCUGAGGGUUUUUUUUUUUUUCGUGGUUGGUAAUUUGUUGACUUCUAAUUGGAUUCUUAUAUCAGUUUAAUGGUUCUAGGGUGUUUCUUCUUUAAAUAAAUUCAAACGUGUCUUUACCAUUUUUACAUUCCUUUUUACCAUUUCCUUAUAUUGUAGAUAUCUACAAUGACUUUUUACCUUCCUAGAUCAAAAUUCAUAAAUACAAAUUGGUACAAAAUUAUAGCGCCAUGAGUAAAAAAGUUUAGCCAAUUAGUUAUUUUUGUUGUAGUCUAUGCAAUCAGUUGGCUUGAAGGGUACUAUGUUUUUAUCCAAAUUAGAACCAAAUUUAUAAAUCUGUCUGAAGCAUGCCCCCAAAAUAGCCAAAGUCAUCAGUGCCGCCCACGAUUACAAGGCAAUACAUCCCAUUCUCGCGAGCUGUUAACACCUUAUUGCUCAACAACACUUCGCCACCACCCUCAAAAUGUAAAGCAAUUCUUGGCAAUUCUGAAGGCGUUGUGGUAAAAAAACAAAGGGUAUCCAACCCAUAGUUUUUAUUUACGACUGACUCUAAUGGAACUGCCUUUUGUAUCUUAGUUACCACCCGGUCAAACAGAUCUUUUGGUAGUCGUGGAAAAGGUGUACCUGAGUCGAUCAACAUGUUAUCUUUUUUCAGCAGGGUACCAUUUGAGUUAAAUGGAACAAAAUCAUUUCCGAUGCUAAUUCUUGAUACCAUCACAUAAUAAAAGGUUGUAUGAUUGACUAAAGGUGUUGUCACCACCUCUUCAUCCAAAACUUUACUUGACACGACCCACCCCGAAUUUCACCCUGAAACCCGGAGUAAGUCGUGCGGGGACCACCUCCAAGGAAAAUUUACUGAAAAGAUUAAGGAAAUCUCCCUUGCAGAUGGACAACCCUAACUCGAAAAUUCCAAAUUACACUCUUAAUUCAACACUUCCAAACAUCACAUAAUUAUCCUUUAGAAAUUCUACACAUAAUAUACAAUAAUCCCAAAAUAUUCAGAGCUACUAAACACUAGCGGAAGCAAGAAAACACGAGUAGGUUGAACAUGUAACCUACUGACGAAAACUGGCAGAAAUGCGGGUGACUAUGCCUCGCCUCCUACUAGAUCCAACCCGAACUCUGCAGACUGGGCAAUUUAAAACGAAGGGCCCAGGGAAAAACAUUUAAUAACGUUAGAGUGAGUUGACAAAAAUAAAAUAAUAAAUAAAAUAUUUAUGUUUCCCCAAAUUAAUUUCUAAGGAAAAAUCGAAUGCAUGCCGCAAGCGAUAAAACUUUUAUCUCAUAAAAAAAUCGAGCCUCUCAGACUCUAUAAUAUAUAUAUGUAUUUACACUCGUCGAUACUCCCUAUAUAAAUUCAUGGGUCUAUAUAGGGCUACUACGCUCGCGUCCAACGCUCACGUCACGCCCUAAUGCGGUGCUACACUACGCCAUCAAGGUGGACAGACGGGUGUAUCAAUAUGUGUCCAUACCCCCUAUAUGAAUUAAACACUCAAAUAGGGCUACUACGCUUACGUCCAACGCUCACGUCACACCAUAAUGCGGCUAUAUGCUACGCCAUUAAGGUGGACAGACACAUAUGGCUAGCUAGCAUUUAUAUACUCUCUCAUAAAUACAUAUUUAUAUCCACCGAAAAUCCCAUUUUCGGUAACUCUCCAAGAGAAAUAAAAAUCGUCAAAUUAAAAUGACGUUAAAAUAUUCUGCAACAUUAAUUGUUCAACCAUGAACUAUAGCAUGCAUUUAUUUAAAAUAAACGUCCACUCACAAAUUAGGCCUAAGCCUGAUGUCGAUCUGGGGCCUUGUCUGCUCGAGCCUCCUCACGUCCUGUUCCAAAUAUAAUAUUAAUUUCCCAACCAAUAAUCCAAUAUUUAAUCAAAAUAGGCAAAAUUACCCGAGGGCCAUAAAUACGCUCAUCAUUGCCUAACUUCGAUAUUCUUAAAUCGGGACGAUCCGAACUUAAAUAUCAUACUCAACAGUCGUAAAUACAACCUCCCCAAAAUACGACUUAAAUCCUACGGCCGGAUUCUACAUUAAUUAACCGCCAAAAAUACCAAACUUCGGAAAUUCACAAACCUACCCAAAUCUCAUCCAAAAAUUCCAUAAAUCACAUCAAUAUACUCCUCUUAAUAUUCCACACUUAAAACCCUAAAAAUCUCCUAACCGGCGGCGGCCGCCGGAGGCCAAUUCCGGCGACCUCCAAAACCUAUGAAAUUUUGACAGAAUAAUCUCCUCAUCAUGCUCUACAACUUUCCUGACCAACACAUCACCCAAUUCCAAGCCUAACUAGGCUAAUCGAACAAAAACAUCCUAAAAGCCCUAGAAAUUUCAACUCCACAUUUCUCCUUACCUAGCUCAAGAGGGAGUGAGCUGAUUGGAGGGGUUGUUGCACGAGAGGAGGGCUACAAAAUGAGCCAAGGAUCACUGGUUUUGGUGGCCGGAGGAGGGAGCUCCGGCAAGAGAACCACCACGGCAGCUAGCGGCUCCAGGCGACGUUUCUCUCUCACGGCGGCGCUAGGGGAGCUGCUACCGGCCUAGAAUGGAAGCUGGGUUGGAGACCGAUCGAUUGGGACCGGUGCGGCGGUCUGGGGCGGCAGGACGGCGGCGGUCGGGCGGCCGGAAGGUUUGGCUGCGGGAGGACUCGGGGAGAAACCGGGAGGAAAAGAGAGGAAAAGAGAAUGGGUUUGGGCCUCACACCCCAAACCGGUCCAUCACCUAUAUACUACCCAAUUCUAAAAUAAAACACCCCGAAAAAAUAAUACCCGAAUAAAAAUUACCUUUUACUAGCUAAAAUUUAUCAUUUUUACUGUUGACAUAAAUUCUCCCACGAAUGAUUCCCCGAAAUUAAUCGUCCCUUUAAAACACCUCUAGGGACCAAUUAAACUAUUACCUCAAUGACGGAGACGGUAAAAUUCUUAUUAUAAUCAAGCUAGUAAAUAAGGUAAAAAUAUAAGGGUCGGGAUGUGACAUUACUCUUGUUCCUGAAAUAGAUCUUGCUUUCCAAAUUGGGAUCUUACACCAAACAAUGAGAGAAUCUCUUGCCUCCAACAUAAGGAGCAAUUUGAGAGACAAAUGACAAGGGCCCACGCCUAAGCCCUAUAACUCCCAUUUCAUUUCCAGUGCUAAAAGUGUUAUUGUUCGUAGUCUUACACCUAAAGAUAAUGUCUUUUAGGAUUACAACGUUACAUGUAGUGGAUUUCAACAAAAUUGUUUCUCUACUUAGAUUACCUAUUGUGUAUGUCCUGUCUGCAUAACUGUACAUGUACACGUAAUUUGUAGAAGGUUCUUUUUUAUACACUCAUGCUAAACUCGGGGUAUAGGAUUCGCCAAGUAGUCUACAGUCCCCUGACUGACAUGUAAUGUUCUACUAAGUUGAUGAGUUUCUCAGGUUAAAAACACCAAACUUGGUCUUGUAACAAGCAUUGCAUGGCUCACAUUGCGUCCAUAAUAGAUCGCUACCAUUAUCAGUAAUUGCAUAAAUAUCGAUAGGCGGAGUUCUCAUUGAGAACUUCAUAAUACGUUCGAAGUUGGUAUCAAGUUUCAUCGGUGCUUCGGGAACUUCUGGACCUAUCAACCGUCGAGAAACUUUGUUGUUUCUUUGUUUGUGCAAUGGUGAUUUGGGGGAAUUUUUAUGGAUAAGAUGGGCGCUAAAUUCACCCUUGAUAUUGUUGAUAUUGGUUGUUGCUGUAACAAUAUAGUAUCCAAGAUGAAAGAAAAAAAGGGUGAUGAUGACUAUAGUAUGGUUAAUUCUUGGUGAAGAACAAAGGGUAGCCAUAUGAUCGAGUUUACAUGAUGAUACACGAAAAAGAAAAAAAAGACUUGAAUUCGAGGCAAGAUCACAAAGGAUUUCAAAGAUUUGUGAUCUUUAAAUGUUAAAAGGUUACUUCACUCCACAAAUAUCCAGUUAUGAUUGAACGUUAAAUUUUAGUUAAAGAUCACAAUUGAUUGUUCAUAUAGAGAUUGUAAAUUUUGUGUUUACAGCUGAAAAACCACUAUUCACACUUGGAGACAUAACAUUAACGUGGACGUGGUUGUGGAAAAUCUAUUUUUAGAAAUAUUUGAAAUGUGAUGUGGUCCACGUUUUUUUGAAACAACUCUGUACUAGUAGUUUUAUAGGGCAGAGCCUCAUUUGAAGAGUUUUUUUUUCUUCUUUUUUCUUUUCCAAAUAUUGUAUUUUGCAAUAAUUUCCUACCAUACAUUUCAAAAUUAGUUAAUUAAGUCAUUAGAGUGUAUUAAAAUAUUACCUGAAAGAGCACAAAUAGUUUUAGUACAGAGUUACACGUGCUAAGUUGAAUCCAUAAGGAAUGUAUGAAAAAUGAAUAAACUAAUCAAAUCAAACUAAUCGAUUCUAAAUGAAUUUAACGCUAAUUUAGUUGAAUAAAAGUUGGUUGUGAUGCAAAAUUAAGUGAUCCUAGAUUUGAGUCUGACCAUCCUAACUCCAAGAUGAGGCCCUAUGCUCAACAUAAUGCCCAAACCCAAUUCUAGGAUCUUUUCGCUACCGUCGUCGCACCGUUACUAGUAGAACUCGAAAGAUAAAGCACACAAGCAUAGAGCCGAAUCUGCACCCUUGAAGGACAGAGUGAUUGACGCUACCUCACAACAUAUUUGUUACUUUAUCAGCAAGUAACUUUGUCAUCUUAGCCUUCAUUUUAGAUUCAUAUAUCCAUUCUUUUUAUCCUGUUUAAUUCCUUCUUUUGCACAUCAACCAAACUGAGUUUGCAUACUUUGCAUAUGUAGGCAGACUGACCAUGUUUUGUGACGAAGUUGCAUACCUUCAGUGUUGUUUGCUAUUCGAAUGCAAAAUGCAUUGGCCUCUUCAUGUCUAGACAGUAAGUGUUCUUCUGUCAACGGAUAUUCGCCACCACGCACUCUUAUCUUCUUUGUUCCCGAAAAAGAUCCUGCUUUCAAUGUAUGUUCUAUGACAACAGAUGAACUACAAAAACCACAUUACAUUGCAGAGCCCUUAUAUUUACUAUCAUAUAUAUACUAAAUGAAGUCCCACUCUGAUACCACACAGAAGUUUCAAUUUAUUUUCCAUCAAAGAAUUGAACUUUCUCAGAUUAUGUAAGAGGAGUUUUUGAGCAAAUGUGAUGUGAAUUAGUGUUCAAGAAGUUGUACUGAAUAUAUUGAAGGAGGGAAAUUACAUGGAGCCCUCUUUUAUUAUAUUGGUGUACUACGACAAGAAGCAGCAAAUUUUAAUUCAUGUGGAUCAAUUUCAUAAGAUGGAACUCUAAAGCUAUCAGAUUUUGGAUUCUUUUGGGGGAGUGUUGGCGAAUCUCCAUUCCAAGUGCAUCAGGUUUCCAUAAGUUCUACCACCCGCCACUUGGUCUAGUGGAACAGCACCAGAAACUUGUUUCAAGUCUUCUUCCCCAAGUUUCACCUUUAAGGAGCCAAUGUUUGCGUCUAGGUUCUUUAUCUUUGUUGUUCCUGCAGUGGAACCGGAAUGUCAGUAUGACAGGGAUAUAUAAGAAGUUAAGAACAUAACAGAUGAAAAGGACAAUGAACAAUUACUCUUAGAAUCCAUAAUUUUGGAAGUCAUGUUUUCAUUGUUGAGAACAAAUAUGGAAAUGAUGAUGAGUCACCUGGGAUAGAUACAACAUCAUCUCCUUGGUGAAGAACCCAUGCAAAUGCUAGUUGAGGAGUACGGCAUUGGUGCUUUUGAGCAAGGCUUUCCAAUUGAUUGUAAAUAGUCUUGUUCUUCUCCAAGUUCUCUCCUACGAACCGAGGAUGGGAUGACUAGAACAUAGAAAAGAAAACUGAUUCAAUUAACCAGUAUAAUUCUGUUUAAGCAGCCGGAGCCGUGCACCGCCAUAUCUCGAGUCAGGGGGAGGAGGAGUUUUGGUCUGCUAUAGACUGGUUUGAGUCCAGAAAUGGAGAGGGAGGUGAGUCUAGGGUACCUUUUAGGAUGUAUGGCCCCGAGUUGACAUGCAUGAGCAUGGAGAAUAUGACUGAGUUUCCUGGUAGUACUGGGAAUACGCCGUUGAUGCACACAGCUGUGUUUAAUACGGAGAGGAGGCCCGUACACGUGUCGUAUCAUGUCGGAAAUGUGGAAGGGGAAGGGUUGAUAAUGGUGAUGCCAUCUCCCGAAGGAGAGCUCGCGAGGAUGGUUACGGUGACGUUGCCGGUGGAGGAACUAGAGCAGCUACGUGAGGAUGAAGCUGUUCUGAGCCUAAACCCAAUAAGUGGGACGAAACAAGCAUAAAUUUCUGUUAUGUCUAUCUCUGAAGGAAUAAAAAGGUCUGAACGAUCUUUUUCAAGUUGAUUUUGUGUUUAUGUACUUUAAAUGUGAUUAUUACUGCUCAAAAAUUGAAUUAAAAUAGAACCUGAUCGAUAGCCUCACACAUCUUGAGCUUGAUUUUAUAUAUAUUCUGUUUCACUUCUGUAACUACUCUCUCUCUCUCUCUCGCUCUCUCUGGGUCUCUAUCAGAGCUAGGAGAUUAGGCGUAGGAUAGGUUUAGGUUUNUGUAUACGAACUAUAGUAGUUAUANAUAAGAGGUAGNUNUAUAGAGAUUNUUNUUCUUCUUNNAAGAAGAUUUUGUUUUUUUUUUUUUUUUUAUAAAUUUUUUUAUUAAAUAACUCACACACCCAAUAUAUGUCAAUGAGGUUUGAACCCAUGACGUCAAAGUUGUUAGUUAACCACCUUAACCAACCACGCCACGGCUCACCGACAAGGAACUGUGAUUUAGGGUUCAAUUAAUAUACACAUGCACACACAUUUAUUGGGAAAAAAAUGUAAUACACGCAUGAUGUAGACAAAGAAGCAACAUCAAGAAAUUUAAGAUAAGUUCAGAAUGAUCUAAAUCCUUAGUGAGUUGGUGUUACUUCCGGUAUAAAAUUGUAUAAUGCAGUUCAAAUAUCACUGAGUAUAUAUUAUUUUGUUAUUGGAAACGAUAACACUUUAUUCAUAAUAACUAGUAGCAUUACAUUGAAACUUGCAUGUCACACAGUGUGGCGUAGAGAAAAUAAGUUCCCCACAUAUGAUACUACUCAAAGAAGUACAAUGGGAUAUGAUAUCCCCAUAUUUAACCUACUUAUCAUAGAGAAGCUUCGUUUGCCUCAAAUACACAUAUUACUGAUGAUUUAGUUCAGAGUCUUUUGAGGAGUGUUGGCAUAUUUCCAUUGCACAUGACUCGAGCUUGGAUAAGUUUUAUCACCAGCUACUUCGUCUAGUGGAACAGCUUCAGUGAUUUCUUUGAGGUCAUCUUCCUUGAGAUUCAGACUUAAGGAGCCAAUGUUGGUAUCCAGGUUCUUAAUCUUUGUUGUCCCUGCAUGUAUAUGUAUGUGGAAAUUAGUUCAAAGUACUAUAAUAUUUGUCGUCUGCAUUAUUUAACUUGAAGAUCGAGGAAGAGGUUCUCAGACUCACCGGGGAUUGGUACAACGUCAUCACCUUGGUGGAGAACCCACGACAGUGCUAGUUGAGCAGGAGAGCAAAGGUGCUUAUUUGUAGCAAGGUUUUCUAUUGCCUGGUACAUGUGUCUGUUCUUCUCCAAGUUCUCUCCAGUUAGCCGAGGAUGUGCGGCCUGGUAUUACAAAAUCCAAGAUUAUGUCACAUAGUAAUGCCAUAAUGAAAUGCUCUUUUUCUGAAUUACAGAUCUCUCUGUUUAGACGUAUACUAUAUCAUGCUCUAUACGUGUGUUCUAAGUUUGUCAUAGAAUUUGAGAAGAGAUCAAUGUAAGGGAGAAGACGAUUUGUACCGCAUGAACAUUUGGAUCCAAACUUUGGACAACUCCUUUGCCUGCGAAGAAACCACGACCAAGAGGACUAUAUGGAACUAUUCCAAUGCCACGCUCCCUGCACCAUGUGAUCAGGAGAAUUUAAGAUUGAUCGAUGUACAUGUGAUAUGGGAAUCGAAGAAUAGUAUGAUGGAAUGGAAAAACGCAAACAUUGUGCAUGAAAUCUUUAUAUUCAUAUUGCAUUCCUAAAUCUACACAAUCUGUAUGAUGUUUACAUCAUUCAUUUUCAUCUGAUGAUACCAGCCCACAUGUACACCUCUGUCCCUCAUUUCUGCAUUAGUUCUUGUAUGUCCUUAUCAAUGUUACUUUGAUUAAAUAGAUGAGAUAUUAGAAGAAAUUAAAGAAGAUUCAACUAAUAAUAAAAUUGUACGUAUACUCUCAAGCUAGUCAUGGUAUCAAAGACAAUGUGAUAGGUGAAUCUAUUUGUGAGAAUGAAAGAACUAUCAUCAUCCCAGUUCACUUUCUAGUUCGAAAGACACAUGUAUAUAGUAACGGAUACUGUGUUUGAUUCUACCAGAAAAAAGUUUAUACAUAAAUAUUAAUGUUGAAAUGAAUUAAUUAUAUACCUGCAAAGUGGAAUAAUCUCUUCUUCAAUAUCUCUAGUCCAAAGAGACCACUCCAUUUGCACAGCUGUGAUGGGAUGCACAGCAUGCGCUCUCCUUAUUGUGUCUGGACUGGCUUCAGAUAACCCAAUAUACUUGAUCUUUCCUUCUUCCACAAGUUUCUUCAGCUCUUCCAUCUAAAAUCCAACAAGAAAAAAGAGCAAGUAUCUUAUCACAUUUCCAUCUGGGGUUGUUUUGGUACUAAAUGCAUAUGUUCAAAUGAAAAUUAAUUUCAAACUUACAGUUUCCUCUAUUGGCACCGUUUGAUCAAUGCGGUGAUAAUAGUAGAGGUCAAUGUAGUUGACGCCAAGACGCUUCAAGCUAGCCUCGCAGCAUGACAUACUCCGGAGUUCCCUUCACCACCAAGCGAGGAGGUCCUAAGCUUACAAUACCAAACUUCGUUGCUAGUUGAACCUCUUCCCUUGGCAACUGCUUCAGGGCCUAAAACAACAUACAGAAAAUUAGUCUGCCUCUCAUUACCACUAUCUGUGAUGUUUCCUCAAACUAACUACCCCAUUUGUGGAACUGGACUUUGAUAGUAUCAGAAUUCAGUAACAAAAAUUCACAUUGCAUUUGAUAAUCUCUCAAAAACACUUGGACAAAUGCUUUAAGGAAAGUUCACCAGCGAAGGUGUGAUCAAAUCAUCAAAUCAUCAAAUUAUCUUACUUACCUUGCCAACAAGAAUUUCAUUGGCAUGAUCAGUUCCGUAUAUAUCAGAUGUGUCGAAGAAAGUGAUUCCUUUACUGAAGGCAUGCUUUAUAAUGGAGAUUCCAUCCUCUUCAGCACCAGGAGACUUGACAAACGUCAAUCCCAUGCAUCCAAACCCCAAUUUUGAAACCUGAUGAAGUUAAUACCAUGAUCGGAUAUUAGAAAUAAACCAAACAAAUCAAGCUACUGAAAGGAAGUUAAUUAUUCAGGAAUGAAAGAAAAUGCAGGAGGAUUAUAUCUGACCUCAAAUCCUUGAGUUCCUAGUUUAACCUUUGGGAUCUGUAUUUCCUUCUGUUCAGCCAUUUCUUCGAUCUCUUCCUUCAAAUGAUUACUAUUGAGUCGUGAAACUGGGAAUGGGACUGUGAAGAGUGAAGUUCAAGAUUUACAAAACUCUUUAAAAUCUGCUGUGUUUGAAAUUGCAGUUUGGCCAUAUGAUUCUGUGGUUAUAUAUGUACUCACACACUGGCAAGUGACAUCAUUGACUAUGUCAUAGUAUCUAGUUCUCGUUGACUAUUUCAAAGUAUUUCUCCCUCGUUAGAGUUAGAGCACUAUGUCACUAUGGCUCUUUUUAUGGUAAGUCAUUAUGUCAUUGUGCCACUACUUAACAAAGUAAUAACUGACAUCACUGCACAUGCAUGUCUUGGCUUUACCGCUUGCAGAGGUACACCUUACUUGAGCAUUAUUGGGAGGAUGACAAAACAGUGUUUACCAUAUAUCUUUAUCAUUUGGGUCCAAAGCCAGAGGCUUCCAAUACAAACUCGCCGGCGCUUUGUCACCAAAAGCAACAUUCUUGAGUCAAAUGGAUCUGACCUCGAACCAAAUUUUAUAAUCGACGAGUUACCCGAGUCUAAGAGUAACAAAACAACAUUGCAACUGACAAUAAAUCAAGUCAAUUAGCUUUCUUCAACAUCGUGUUUAAAAAUUAUCAGAUCACGUGCAAAGACAAUCCACCCACAUAUUAACAACUAAACAACAUCGUAAUGAAAACACUUAUCCACAUGAAUGAUGUCACCACAGUAGCAUAUCGACAAAACCAAGGCAACCCAACACUCGCUUAAAAGCAUCCCACCCACACCAAUGAGACCAGAAGCCAAUGCUAGCGCGAGGGCACCACCAGACAAGCGAGAUACUCAAUAUGUUUUCCUAACCAUAAGCCUCUUGUUUUUGCAGAGCAAAUGAGACUUUUUAGAUGAUGACUACUCCGUAGGUUUUUUUUUUUUUCGUGGUUGGUAAUUUGUUGAUUUGUAAUUGGAUUCCUAUAUCAGUUUGAUGGUUCUAGUGUGCUUCUUCUUUAAAUAAAAUCAAACGUGCCUUUACCAUUUUUACAUUCUUUUUUACCCAGUCGGGAUCCAGAGAGGACGUCUACAUAGCCCUUAAAGUGCGGACAUCCCUCCGUCCUCCACCGUACUGCUCCGACGACAGCGCGUCUCCACCCAAGCGGUCUAUAGCAACGUCCCCGAUCACUUUCCCUCCCCGGCGAGUCCGCCGAAUUCUAGUUUUCUAGUGAGAUCACCCAAAACUUCGAACCAAAUCGAUCUCACUGGAAAACUAAUUCGGCGGACUCGUCGGGAAGGGAAAAUGAUCGGGGACGCUACUGGAGGCCGCUAGGGUGAAGGUGCGCCGUUGUCGAAGCCGUAUGGUAGAGAACAGAGGAACGUCUGCACUUUAAGGGCGUGCGGACGACCUCCUUAGAUCCUCUCCACCUUUUUACCAUUUCCAUUGUAGAUAUCUACAAUGACUUUUUACCUUCCUAGAUCAAAAUUCAUAAAUACAAAUUGGUACAAAAUUAUAGCGCCACGAGUAAAAAUGAUUAGGCAAUUAGUUAUUUUUGUUGUCGUCUCUACAAUCAGUUGGCUUGAAGGAUACUACGUUUUUAUCCAAAUCAAAACCAAUUAAUAAAUCUGUCUGAAGCAUGCCCCCAAAAUAGCCAAAGUCAUAGUGCCACCCACGAUUGCAAGACAAUACAUCCCAUUCUCACGAGCUGUUAACACCUUAUUGCUCAACGGCACUUCUCCACCACCUCAAAAUGUAAAGCAAUUCUAAAGGCGUCGUGGUAAUAAAGCAAAGGGUAUCCAACCCAUAGUUUUUAUUUACGAUUGACUCUAAUGGAACUGCCUUUUGUAGCUUAGUUACCAACCGGUCAAACAUAUAUUUUGGUAGUCGUGGAAAAGGUGUACCUGAGUCGAUCAACAUGUUAUCUUUCUUCAGCAGGGUACCAUUUGAGUUAAAUGGAACAAAAUCAUUUCCGAUGCUAAUUCAUGAUACCGUCACAUAAUAAAAGGUCGUAUGAUCAACUAAAGGUGUUGUCAUCACUCUUCAUCCAAAACUUCACUCCUGUUCCCGAAAUAGAUCUUGUUUUCCAAAUUGGGAUCUUGCUUGCCUCCAAAAUAAGGAGCAAUUUGAGAGACAAAUGACAAGGGCCCACACCCAAGCCCUAUAACUCUCAUUUCAUUUCUAGUGCUAAAAGUGUCAUUGUUCGUAGUCCCACACUUAAAGAUAAUGUCUUUUAGGAUUACAAUGUUACCUGUAGUGGAUUUCAACGAAAUUGUUUCUCUACCUAGAUUACCUAUUGUGUAUGUCUCGUCUGCAUAACUGUACAUGUACACGCAAUUUGUAAAAGGUUCUUUUUUACACACUCCUGCUAAACUUGGGGUAUAGGAUUUGCCAAGUAGUUUACAGUCCCUUGACCGACAGGUAAUAUUCUUAUAAGUUGAUGAGUUUCUCGGGUCAAAAACACCAAACUUGGUCAUGUAAUUAACUAUGAAACCAUUAGGGUUUUCUUGAUUGAAACCAUUAUUAGGUUAAUUAUACAGUAAGAGGUCAUAUAAUGAAAUCUUUAGUCUUCCUUAUGAUGACAAAUGAACUGUGAUUUAGGGUUCAAUUAAUAUACACAUGCACACACACAUUUAUUGGGAAAAAAAAUGUAAUACAUGCAUGAUGUAGACAAAGAAGCAACAUCAAGAAAUUUAAGAUAAGUCGAGAAAUCUAAAUCCUUAAUGAGUUUGUGUUACUUCCAGUAUAAAAUUGUAUAAUGCAGUUCAAAUAUCACUAAGUAUAUAUAUAUAUAUAUAUAUAUAUAUAUAUAUUAUUUUGUUAUUGGAAACGAUAACACUUUAUUCAUAAUAACUAGUAGCAUUACAAUGAAACUUGCAUGUCACACAGCGUGGCGUAGAGAAAAUAUGUUCCCCACAUCUGAUACUACUCGAAGAAGUACAAAUGGGAUAUGACAUUCCACAUUUAACUUACUUAUCAACGAGAAGUUUCGUUUGCCUCAAACACACAUAUUACUGAUGAUAUAGUCAAGAACUCAAGAUUGAGAUGAACUAGUUCAGAGUCUUUUGAGGAGUGUUGGCAUAUUUCCAUUGCACAUGACUCGCGCUUGGAAAAAUUUUAUCGCCAGCUACUUCGUCUAGUGGAACAGCUCCAGUGAUUUCUUUGAGGUCAUCUUCCUUCAGAUUCAGACUUAAGGAGCCAAUGUUGGUAUCCAGGUUCUUAAUCUUUGUUGUCCCUGCAUGUAUAUGUAUGUGGAAAUUAGUUCAAAGUAUUAUAAUCUUUGUCGUCUGCAUAUUUAACUUGA
rnacentral:lncRNA from 1 species